rnacentral:rRNA from 1 species
ACCGUGUACGUACAAGCAGUGGGAGCACAGGUUUACCUGUGUGACUGCGUACCUUUUGUAUAAUGGGUCAGCGACUUAUAUUCUGUAGCAAGGUUAACCGUAUAGGGGAGCCGUAGGGAAACCGAGUCUUAACCGGGCGUUAAGUUGCAGGGUAUAGACCCGAAACCCGGUGAUCUAGCCAUGGGCAGGUUGAAGGUUGGGUAACACUAACUGG